AAACUUUCAACAACGGAUCUCUUGGUUCUCGCAUCGAUGAAGAACGCAGCGAAUUGCGAUACGUAAUAUGACUUGCAGACGUGAAUCAUUGAAUUUUUGAACGCACAUUGCGCCUUAAGGUAUUCCUCAAGGCAUGCGUGAAUGAGCGAUAUUUACUCUCAAACCCUA
rnacentral:rRNA from 3 species